rnacentral:rRNA from 1 species
GACGAACGCUGGCGGCGUGCUUAACACAUGCAAGUCGAACGGAAAGGCCCUGCUUUCGUGGGGUGCUCGCGUGGCGAACGGGUGUGUAACACGUGAGUAACCUGCCCUUGACUUUGGGAUAACUUCAGGAAACUGGGGCUAAUACCGGAUAGGAGCUCCUGCUGCAUGGUGGGGUUUGGAAAGUUUCGGCGGUUGGGGAUGGACUCGCGGCUUAUCAGCUUGUUGGUGGGGUAGUGGCUUACCAAGGCUUUGACGGGUAGCCGGCCUGGGAGGGUGAACGGCCACAUUGGGACUGAGAUAGGGACCAGACGGCAACGUGAGGCAGCAGUGGAGAGUAUUGCACAAUGAGGGGGAGCCUGAGGCGACAGCGCCGGGAGCGGGAUGACGGCCUACGGGGUAUAAACCGCUGUCAGCUGUGACGAAGCUGGAUUGACGUUAAUAGGUGAAGAAGCACCGGCUAACUACGUG